UGGGGAAUAUUGGACAAUGGGCGAAAGCCUGAUCCAGCAAUGCCGCGUGAGUGAUGAAGGCCUUAGGGUUGUAAAGCUCUUUUACCCGGGAUGAUAAUGACAGUACCGGGAGAAUAAGCCCCGGCUAACUCCGUGCCAGCAGCCGCGGUAAUACGGAGGGGGCUAGCGUUGUUCGGAAUUACUGGGCGUAAAGCGCGCGUAGGCGGCUUUGUAAGUUAGAGGUGAAAGCCCGAAGCUCAACUUCGGAAUUGCCUUUAAGACUGCAUCGCUAGAAUCGUGGAGAGGUAAGUGGAAUUCCGAGUGUAGAGGUGAAAUUCGUAGAUAUUCGGAAGAACACCAGUGGCGAAGGCGACUUACUGGACACGUAUUGACGCUGAGGUGCGAAAGCGUGGGGAGCAA
rnacentral:rRNA from 1 species